rnacentral:tRNA from 1 species
GUCCCCGUAGCUCAGCGGAUAGAGCAGUAAGCUUCUAACUUCAAGGUCGGCGGUUCGAGUCCGCCCGGGGGCGCCA